rnacentral:rRNA from 1 species
UCGCUGCCCGCGACUCUGCGAGAAGUCCAUUGAACCUUAUCAUUUAGAGGAAGGAGAAGUCGUAACAAGGUUUCCGUAGGUGAACCUGCGGAAGGAUCAUUG